rnacentral:rRNA from 1 species
CUUAUGGAGAGUUUGAUCCUGGCUCAGGAUGAACGCUGGCGGCGUGCCUAAGGUAUGCAAGUCGAGCGAUCUUUGCGAGAUUUUGAUCUCCUGCUUGCAGGAGUGAACUAUCUUGCUUCUUGAUAGCGGCAAACGGCUGAGUAACAAACAGGAACUUACCCUUUAGUGAGGGAUAGCUCGCCGAAAGGCGGAUUAAUACCGCAUAGUCCUCUUGUCUUCGGAUUUUGAGGUAAAGUCUUCGGACGCUAGAGGAGAGGCCUGUUUCUUAUCAGGUAGUUGGUAGGGUAAUUGCCUACCAAGCCUAUGACGAGUAGGGGG